AGCAUUUCUUCUCCAAGUAAGCUGAAACAUCGUUGCGAGUACAAGUACCUUUUACGUUCGAAUCAUUUUGUGCGUACGUUCACCCGUAAUUGUCAGUCAAAACUUUCUUACGACACGUUGUCUAACUGCACGCUGCCGGAACUUCACGUACGUGAUAACGUCACUGUUCAGCGCAUUUCAAUAAAAAAACGGGGGGCGGUGCCUCGCGUGAUCGUGUGUAAACAGAGUAGCGUUUAACGUUCUCGUUAUUGUGAUAUUACUUGUUAUGGUGCAUGAAAGCAUAAAGUUAAAAGUAGAAAUAGACUCGUUAAGAAAGAGACCCUGGAACUGACGAUUAACUAUCUUUGAAUUUCAAAAAUUCGCUGGUGUCCGGAUCCAAUGACGACAUUCGCUCUGAGGAGAAGUCCAUCUUGGGUUUGAUUUCGUGCUGGGUUCAUAUUAUGGUGUGCUUCGACUUUUAUUGUUUGCUCUGUCCAUUUAUUUGGACAAUUUGUGAAGUGACGUAGGAUGCGAGUAACUCCGGGUUACAGUAUAUCAGGCAACUUGUUACCGAGACGUGCUAGCAUACCGUUGGCUAAAGUUUCCUUAAUUACGAUAUAGAUCUACUAUGCACUUAUUUUCAUGAACUCGGACCACAAUUUUAACUUCUGGGCAGAAAUGAAAACUAAAGGAGGGCAUUUUUUCGAAAAAUCUAAAAACUCACAAUCACUAUUUUUGUAAAUACAGUAACUCAAAACGAAAACAUACGCCUGGUUUUGUGAUAUUUGUGUGUGUGUGUGUGUGUGUAACAGUGAAACGAACUAAUAAAUUAUAGCGGAAGUGACUCAACAGCAAAGAUUGUGGCACCUGCUUACCGCCGUACGUCGUCAGAAAGACGAGGAAUGCAGAGUGAAAAUUGUGCAGGACUGAAAGCGUCUUCACCAUUGUUCCCGUCAUACCGUGUUGCAGGCAGAGCUAUGAGGAAUGCAGAGUGGUAGUUGACCGGAACUGAACGUGGCUUCACCUUUGCUCCUGCCAUACUGUGUUGCAGUGUUGUAAUAAAAAGAACAUCUGUAAUCCACCUGAGUGUCAGUGAUGUAUUGAACCGACAGCGAUG